rnacentral:rRNA from 1 species
GAUGAACGCUGGCGGCGUGCCUAAUACAUGCAAGUCGAGCGAACGGACGAGAAGCUUGCUUCUCUGAUGUUAGCGGCGGACGGGUGAGUAACACGUGGAUAACCUACCUAUAAGACUGGGAUAACUUCGGGAAACCGUAGCUAAUACCGGAUAAUAUUUUGAACCGCAUGGUUCAAAAGUGAAAGACGGUCUUGCUGUCGCUUAUAGAUGGAUCCGCGCUGCAUUAGCUAGUUGGUAAGGUAACGGCUUACCAAGGCGACGAUGCAUAGCCGACCUGAGAGGGUGAUCGGCCACACUGGAACUGAGACACGGUCCAGACUCCUACGGGAGGCAGCAGUAGGGAAUCUUCCGCAAUGGGCGAAAGCCUGACGGAGCAACGCCGCGUGAGUGAUGAAGGUCUUCGGAUCGUAAAACUCUGUUAUUAGGGAAGAACAUAUGUGUAAGUAACUGUGCACAUCUUGACGGUACCUAAUCAGAAAGCCACGGCUAACUACGUG